rnacentral:rRNA from 1 species
AGCUUUGUAAGCGUAUACUAAAUUUUUUGCAGUUAAAAUGCUCGUAGUAAGAAUUUGGCAGUUCUGGACGUGUGCACGUCGUGUGCGCACUUUGCGGGGACUGCUUUUGUGGUCUUGCGUAUGAUGAGGCACUUUUAUUAGUGAACGUCCUCACGCAACCACUCUUUACUGUGAGAAAAUCAGAGUGCUCAAAGCAGGCAUUUGCCGUCAAUGUAUUAGUAUGGAAUAAUAGAAUAGGACUCGGCUCUAUUUUGUUGUUUUGUUGGGACUGAGUAAUUAUUCAGAAGGACAGUUGGGGUAUUUGUAUUCCGGCGCUGGAGGCCAAAUUGCUAGAUUUCCGGAUGACAAACUACUGCGGAAGCGUCUGCCAAAGAUGUUUUCAUUGAUCAAGAACGAAAGU